rfam:Alicyclobacillus ferrooxydans strain TC-34 contig_1, whole genome shotgun sequence.
UCUGGUGACGAUGGCGGAGGGGACACACGCGUACCCAUGCCGAACACGACCGUUAAGACCUCCAGCGCCGAUAAUACUUGGAGCGCGAGUUCCUGGGAAGGUAGGACGUUGCCAGGC